UCCCUGCUGGUCCAGUGGUUAAGACUUUGCCUUCCAAUGCAAGGGGACCAGGUUUGAUCCCUGGUCAGGGAG
rnacentral:tRNA from 1 species